rnacentral:rRNA from 1 species
GACGAACGCUGGCGGCGUGCUUAACACAUGCAAGUCGAACGGUGAACUCCGCUUGCGGGGGGAUCAGUGGCGAACGGGUGAGUAACACGUGGGCAACCUGCCCUCAGCUCUGGGAUAACUCCAAGAAAUUGGGGCUAAUACCGGGUAUGACCGCUGACCGCAUGGUCUGGUGGUGGAAAGAUUUAUCGGCUGGGGAUGGGCCCGCGGCCUAUCAGCUUGUUGGUGGGGUAGUGGCCUACCAAGGCGACGACGGGUAGCCGGCCUGAGAGGGUGACCGGCCACACUGGGACUGAGACACGGCCCAGACUCCUACGGGAGGCAGCAGUGGGGAAUAUUGCGCAAUGGGCGAAAGCCUGACGCAGCGACGCCGCGUGGGGGAUGACGGCCUUCGGGUUGUAAACCUCUUUCAGCAGGGACGAAGCGAAAGUGACGGUACCUGCAGAAGAAGCACCGGCCAACUACGUG